rnacentral:rRNA from 1 species
UUCCGGUUGAUCCUGCCGGACCCGACUGCUAUUUGGGUGAGAAUAAGCCAUGCGAGUCGAAUGGGAUACCUAAAUUUCCCAUGGCAAACUGCUCAUUAACACAUGAUCAACUUACCCUAUAGAGAAAAAUAACCUCGGGAAACUGAGGAUAAUAUUUCGUAGUUGAAUAGGCUUGGAAAAGUUUUUCAAUAAAAGGGAUAAAAAAAAUGGUUUUUAUCUGCUAUAGGAUAGGAUCGUGGACGAUUAUGGUUGUUGGUGAGGUAACGGCUCACCAAGCCGAUAAUCGAUAGGGGCCGUGAGAGCGGGAGCCCCGAGAUGGGUACUGAGACAACGACCCAGGCCUUACGAGGCGCAGCAGGCGCGGAACCUCCGCAAUACACGAAAGUGUGACGGGGUUACCCAAAGUGUUCAAUUCUGAACUGUGGUAGGUGAGUAAUGUUCCCUACUAGAAAGGAGAGGGCAAGGCUGGUGCCAGCCGCCGCGGUAAAACCAGCUCUUCAAGUGGUCGGGAUAAUUAUUGGGCUUAAAGUGUCCGUAGCCGGUUUAGUAAGUUCCUGGUAAAAUCGGGUAGCUUAACUAUCCGUAUGCUAGGAAUACUGCUAUACUAGAGGGCGGGAGAGGUUUGAGGUACUACAGGGGUAGGGGUGAAAUCUUAUAAUCCUUGUAGGACCACCAGUGGCGAAGGCGUCAGACUGGAACGCGCCUGACGGUGAGGGACGAAAGCCAGGGGAGCGAACCGGAUUAGAUACCCGGGUAGUCCUGGCCGUAAACGAUGCAUACUAGUGAUGGUACGGCCAUGAGCCGUAUCAGUGCCGUAGGGAAACCGUUAAGUGUGCCGCCUGGGAAGUACGGUCGCAAGGCUAAAACUUUAAGGAAUUGGCGGGGGAGCACCCACAAGGGGUGAAGCCUGCGUUCAUUGACUCAACGCG